ensembl:lncRNA
AAGAAAACCAUAAAACUUGUAUUACUGCGUCUUAAGAUGAUUUGUUUAGGUCAAAUGAUGUCAGCCUAUAAGAACACCAUGAUAUAAGGUUUACAAUAAAAAUAAGGUUUGAAAUGUUUGAAAGUUUUUUUAUGUAUAAUUUAUCUACUCAUAUUCAAUGUGCAAGGAAAUAAUUUUAGUAGCUUUUAUUUAAUGAUCACACCACUUGACAUUUUUAAGGCAGAUAUGUCUAUAUAUUAUACACUGAAAAAAUGGUAACCUAAAAAAUUGUUGAUUCAACCUAAAUACUGUAUAUUAGGUUACACCAACAAAACUAAAUUUAAAGGUAAGAUCAGGUCAAAAUAGCUCUUUAAUGUUACAGUCGCAGGUUACCACUUUUUACAGUGUAUUAUAUAAUAUAAUAUUAUAUUAUAUUAUAUUAUAUUAUAUUAUAUUAUAUUAUAUUAUAUUAUAUUUUCAAAAGAUUUCCCCUCUUUAUCAUCUCUGACACUGUUAUUUUGUCAUUGACCUAUACACAUAUGUGUGUGCAUUUAUGUGCGUAUAGAAUGCUUGCACAUUAUUUUCUUGAACGCUUUCCUAAAGUCUCUAUUGAAAAUGGUAUAAAUUAUGGGGUUAACAGAACUGUUGCAGUAACCAAUCCAGAAAAAGAGAUUAAACAGGGAAUCCGGUAUUGUGCAACUUUCUCGGCAUAUGGCAUGAAGGCUGUACGUGAAGAAAAAAGGAAACCAGCAGAGCACGAACACCCCCAUAACCACUGCCAGAACGGAGGUGAAGCGCUUCUCUCGCAUCUGUGCCAGUUUGGACUUGGACAAAGACAGCUGACGCGCCUUCGGCUCCUGAUCGAGGUCCGACGCGCGGCUACAUGCCCAUGACAGCCGUCCAUUUUGCUUUGGGCACGCGUGUGCCCCUUCCACCUUCCUGCUCUUGGCGAAGCGCGAAUUUCUUUGUCUGUUGGAGACGCUUCUCUCCUCCAGAUCGAUGUCGUCGAGUUCGCCUUUGCGCUCUCGGCUGCCUGAGCUGUGGCUGCUGGGGCUCUCCAUCUCUGACUUGCCUUUACGCACGAAGCAGGUCUCGGAUUGUGAAGGCUGUCGCUCCAUCCCGUUCUUAGCUACGAACACGGUGGACGCGCGCUGUUUGGCCACCCUGUAGAUCUUGCAGUACACUAAAAUCAUGACAAGACCAGGCGCAAAAAACGACACCAUGCAGGAGGAGAGGAUGUACCAGGUCUCGUUGUUCAGCAAGCACUCCAGCUCGUCGUGUUUGGUCAUGAGAAGCGGUGGGAAGGAAAUCACGGCCGAAAUGACCCACACCACCGUGAUCAUGAACUUUAUUCUCCGCGGGGUUCUCUUUAGGUUGUAGCUGACCGCUUUGGUGACAGACCAGUAGCGGUCCAAACUUAUGGCGCAGAGGUGCACAAUGGAUGACGUGCAAAAGAGCACGUCCAAAGCCAGGUAGAAGGCACACCAGGUGCUUCCAAAGUACCAGUAGCCCAUCACUUCAUUGGCUAGGGAGAACGGAAUAACCAAAGUGGCCACCAAAAUAUCAGCAGACGCCAAAGAGACCAGAAAGAGGUUCUGUGGCGCACGCAGCGCGCGGCUGGUGAAAACGGCCACCACCACUAAUACAUUACCCACUAUGGUCACCAAGAUAAUCACGGUAACCACGAGAAUGAUGAGCAUCGCAGCGUACUGUGGAUGCGGCGGGGCUCUAGGCGCGCUCGUGCUAUUAGUAUCCGCGGAUGAGUUCGGCGAGAGGAAGGUGAUGGUAGUUAUAUCCAUUCUGAGUGUCUUGGGCACAGAUCCCCCAUUUCCAGGCGUAUUCUCAUCCAAAACGCGCUUCGACUUCAAACUUGUAGCAACCAAUCUGAAGCUCUGCGCGAUCCGCCAAAAACUCUGCGCCAAACGUAUCAUACCCAAGAUAGUGUGCUUACUUUUACAACUCCAAGAUGAUAUGAAUAUCUUUCAUCAAUUUCAGGUGCCUUUUUGAUGGGGCAGUGGUCAACCACAGACAUUUUUUUUUUUCCUAAAGAGGAGGCAGGGAAUGUCUGGUGUUGAGCUUGAGUCUUCGGUACGCUCCAGUGUGUCUCGCUGAACAAAUAUGGGAGUGUUUGUGCCCGUUUCACUCCUACUCUCUCUCUCUCUCUCUCUCUCUCUCUCUCU